rnacentral:misc_RNA from 1 species
GAUGAAGAACGUAGCGAAAUGCGAUAAGUAAUGUGAAUUGCAGAAUUCAGUGAAUCAUCGAAUCUUUGAACGCACAUUGCGCCCCUUGGUAUUCCGAGGGGCAUGCCUAUUCGAGCGUCAUUAUCACCCCUCAAGCCUAGCUUGGUGUUGAGACCUGCUGUCAAGGCAGUCUCUAAAAUCAGUGGCAGUGCUGUCAGGCUCUAAGCGUAGUAAACUCAUCGCUAUAGACACCUGGUGGCCGCUCGCCAGAACCCCCCCAUUUUUUAAUGAUUGACCUCGGAUUAGGUAGGGAUACCCGCUGAACUUAAGCAUAUCAAUAAGCGGAGGA